CGCUGCGCCACCGGGGAGGCCCUGUAGUCUUUUCUUUGUUUUAAGGUCAAUGUUAUGAAACCUUUCUUCUGUUCAAAUAUAGCACUUAUUACCAUCUUUAAUUAAUGCACGUACCUGUGUAUUAUCUGACAUCCCACAACUAAAAGGUUUUUGUGUGACUAAGGUUCUCAUUUCUCUGGAACGAACGCCCAGAAUUACAACUGCUGG